AAGGCACAUGCCCUCGACCGGAAUCGAACCUGGGACCUUUCAGUCCGCAGGCUGACGCUCUAUCCACUGAGCCAAACCGGUUUUGGCCUUAAGGAUCUUUUAAUGGUGACAUUAAACUUGAGUCAUGUUAUCAAAAAAAUGUUUUGGCCCAAACUCCUUUUUCACCAGUUUCAUUGCUCAUCUGUUUGUUGUAUACUUGUUCCUGAGUUCGUAAUUAUGAUUUGCUUCUAAUUUCUUUGGAGUGUUUCUGAAUUUUUUUGUUCUCAAAACACGCAUGCAUCCUUGCACAUCCGAACCUUCCUUUCUGCCCUGAUACAGCAACAGCUGUUAGCUGAGCAUCCCUGAUGGAGUGGCUGUCUCCUUGCCAGAACUUCUGACUUCCUGCCUCAUAGGAGGAUUGUACGUCUUAUUGCUGUUGAGCUUGGGCUUGGUCAAGGACAGGUAGGUAGAGGUGGUGUGUGUCCCAAGGCAGACACUGUAAGAGGCAGCGUGUGGCUCACGUGCCUUCCCUCUAGCCCAGCGUCAGCCACAUUCCAGGUGCAGAGUAGACCAUGCACCUGGGUCCCAGCGUGAAGACUAGAACAGAGAUGCAGCCAACCAGUGGUAUAUGAAGCAGUGAGGUAUAUUUUUUAAAAUGAGCUUUGUAGUAUAAUAUAUAUACAUUGAAGUGCAUAAAGUGCACAGAUCUUGAGUGUGGAAUGGGAUGCAUUUUUACACAUAAUGGGUAAUCAGCAGAUGAAGAUACAGGAAUAUUUCCUGGACCCCAGGACUUCUCUCAUGCCCUUUUCUGGUUUAUACCCUCUCCCUGGAUGACCAGUAUUCUUUUAUUUAAAAAAAAUUUUUUUUUGUCCUCACUCGAUAUGGUUGCCUCUCCUACACGCCCCAACUGGGGACUGAACCCGCAACCUAGGUAUAUGCCCUGACUGGGAAUUGAACCCUUCGGUGUACAGGACGACUCUCCAACCAAUAGCCACACUGGCCAGGGCGACCAGUGUUCUUGUAUCGCCCUGAGAUUAGUUUUGUCUAUUCUGGAAUGUCGUAUGAAUGGACUCGUCCACUAAGGAUGCUUGCUGCUUCCGCUCACCAUGGUGUCUGGGUGUGUGCAUUCCGCUGUAUGAAUACACUGCAACUUAUUUACCCAUUCUUUGAUGUUCAUUUAGGCCUAGUUUGGGGCCGUAUGAAUGAAGCUGCUAUGAUUCAUUCUUGUGUUUUUGGUGGAUUUGUUUUCAUUUCUCUUGGGCCUGCACCUGGCACUGCUGGGCCACGGGGUAGGAAUAUGUUCAGCUUCAGUAGUUACUUGCAUAUUGAGACAUUAAAAGGCUCACCAGGUGACUCCGAUGUGCUGCUGGGAAGGAGAACCCUGGUCCGGAGAGACAGCUCUAAAUGCUUGCUGCCCAGUUAGCUCCCCUCCCGAGGCCUGCUGAGUCCUGCCAGGUUCCCCAGUUGCCCUCCAGUAAACCCCUAAACUGUAUCUGUUGUUUGCCACCAGUGAGUCCUGUCCAACCAGACGUGUGGUUCCAGUCUGGCUCCUACCCUCACCCCAAAUCUGCUUCAGAGGUAAAUUCUCAUCCCCAUCGUCUCUGUUGAUUGGGCGCCAGCUUCCAGCCUCUGUCUCCCCUGCCAGAGCCCUCGCUACCUGCAGCAGCCCAGCUCGGACUCUUGCCCCAUUUCUUCCUUCUGUGCCCGUGGACAUGUGGACGUGGUGGCGGUCGAUCCACAGCAUCUCCAGUCCUGAGAGCACAGCAGGGUUGACAUGAGGCUGAACUGGCAAAAGCACGUCAAGUACUUAGUAUGGGCCCUGGUGGAAAGAGCUCACAAAUGAUGCUGACAUGCAGAUCACUGAAUGCUUCCGUCAGCCUUCAUCACCGAGUUCGGACGGACUGCACGCCACAUGGAGAGCUGCACGUUCAGUAAGCCAGGCGCUGGCCACCAGGGCUGUCGAGCUCUUGAAAUGUUUCUUGUCCAAGUUGAGCUGUGUUGUCAGUGGAAAAUAUAUACUUUACGAGAAGAAGAAUGGUUACAUGUUAGAGGAAUACUGUGGUUAUAGCGGGUUAAAUGAAAUGCAGUCACACUUGUUUUUUUCUAAAGGGUGGCAAGGCUGGGUAAGGGCACACCAUUUAGAGGUCACACCCUUUCAGAUAGUGUUUCUCAAAUUGGGGGGCUCUGUGUAGAGUUUAUGGCCUCAAAAGAUCUGUCCUCCAGUCUUAGUUCUGCCCUGUGAUUGUUCAGAGGAUGAAAAGAGAUCAUUUAAUUUCAAUAAAAAACUUACCUAAAAAAAAACAGAUACAAGCAAACACUCCACACAAACCCUGAAGUUCUCUGGUCUUGAACCACUAGAUGGCGCCACAGCACAAGUUUCUAGAAAUAAUCCCUCCUACAGUAGUUGCCUUAGAACAGGUUCUCCAAGGGGUUCACUCUCAUUCUCAGAUCUUACCUGAAAUGCACAUUCUCAGGCCACACCCCAGACCCCCUGAAUCAGAAACGGUAUUGUAACACCCACCCAGGUGGUUCUGGUGCACACUGAAGUUUGAGAAUUGCUGUCCUAUAAUUGGCUUUGGGGUAGCUUGGGUAAGCGAGUAGGACCCCGGGCACAGAGGGCUUGCUGGAGGGGCAAGGGCGGCAGUGGGAGAGGGGAGAGUGAAGGAACAAUUCCAAAUUGUCCACGUGUGGACAGAACUCCUACAAACCAGGGAGCAGUUAAGGAGCAAGAGACUGGGUGGUGGUUUUGUACUUUUCUUUUUAGAUAAGGGAUGUCAAAUGGUGUCACUGGGGAACCCCCAUUUUAGGGCAAAGGCCCCAGUCCAGGAGCCUUUGGGGCAGCCUUUGUGGCCACUAAUGGCUGUUUAUUUCUUCCCGUUCUGAAACUUCACCAAAGCACCGCUGUGUUAAUGGACUAAAAUCUUGCAACCCUCUCAAGACGAUCCAGGAAAAUGGAUGCUCAGAAAUGAAAAAGAAGCUUGAGACCAGGUCUGGAUUUCUAUAGCACCUGGAAGGUUCUCUCAUAUGCUUUGGACGUCAACACCCACCAAGAGGUAACCACCAUCAUGACUUCUAUCACCAUUGGUUGGCUUUGCUGUUCUUGAAUUUCAUAUAAAUGGAAUAAAUACAGCAUAUAUA